rnacentral:lncRNA from 1 species
UCUAAACUCCACUUAGGUCUUUGUUGACAUCCUUUUUAACCUUCAUGUUGAUAUUCCAAAUUUAUAAUCUCUUAAUUUCAUUUUUUAAUUGCAUUCAAAAUUUGAAAAAUAUUUGGAAGUUAAGAUAGCUACUAUUGAGUAAAAUUAUACAUCAAUCAAACUAGCUUAUUGAUAAAUAUCUUAAAAAACCUCAUUAGUCCUCUAUACCCCAAUUUUUGAGACCACAAAAACUCUCAUACUCUUUAAUCUAAUAGCUCAAUUGACUUCAUAUCUCUUAAAUACAUUUUUACCAAGCACAAUGAUAAAUUGCCAAAUUUUUAUUUGUAAAAAUACUACAAAGCUUACAAAAUCCUAAAAUUUUUAAACUUA